GAUGAACGCUGGCGGCGUGCCUAAUACAUGCAAGUCGAGCGAACAGAUGAGGAGCUUGCUCCUCUGACGUUAGCGGCGGACGGGUGAGUAACACGUGGAUAACCUACCUAUAAGACUGGGAUAACUUCGGGAAACCGGAGCAAAUACCGGAUAAUAUAUUGAACCGCAUGGUUCAAUAGUGAAAGACGGUUUUGCUGUCACUUAUAGAUGGAUCCGCGCCGCAUUAGCUAGUUGGUAAGGUAACGGCUUACCAAGGCAACGAUGCGUAGCCGACCUGAGAGGGUGAUCGGCCACACUGGAACUGAGACACGGUCCAGACUCCUACGGGAGGCAGCAGUAGGGAAUCUGCCGCAAUGGGCGAAAGCCUGACGGAGCAACGCCGCGUGAGUGAUGAAGGUCUUCGGAUCGUAAAACUCUGUUAUUAGGGAAGAACAAAUGUGUAAGUAACUAUGCACGUCUUGACGGUACCUAAUCAGAAAGCCACGGCUAACUACGUG
rnacentral:rRNA from 1 species